rnacentral:lncRNA from 1 species
AUGGAUGCGGUGGUUGCUCUAUCACAGAGCAAAGCUACCAAGCAGGACACCAAAGCUGGACCUGUGGCAGAGAAAUACCGCAGGCACAUCCCAGUGGACAAAGUGGUGGAGAUGGUCCAAACUGACCAGGCAGAGGAAGAGGAGCUUCUUGGUACAGUUCCUUCACACUUUAUAUACUGUAUACAAUGACUGUGAUAUGGUUGUCCUAACUAAAUUGAAUGCACUGACUAUUUAGUCGCUCUAGAUAAGUGUCUGCUUAAUGACAACAUGUCAUUUAAAAACAAAUGUAGAUAGGUUGUGACAGUCACUUGGGCAUUUACAUUUUCUCUGUAAUACAUCUCCCAUAAAUGUAACAUAAAUGUAAUGACUGUAAACACACCGUUUAUUUCCCUUUACCCUCAUUCUAUCUAACAGACAGCAGCAUUGUCCCUGACUCCCAGCCUACCAUGAAAACAGAGAGUACUAUGUAAGUACAUGGUCUCUGUCAUUCAAAUUACAAUUGAUUUAAAAUCUGAUUUUGAAUCAGACAUGUUUACUCAUAGAGGAGCUUUGAGACCGUGUGUGCGUGCGUGCAUCUCUGUGUGUGUUCGAACAGAUUCUCCCACUGGAGGAAAGUGUCUGUAUCUGAGAUGCUGCUGCCGGUACAGAGAGGCUUCCAGAAGGCACUGCCCAAACCAGAACUUGAGAACGUAGAGCAACAGGAGCGUCCGUCAUCGGCCCAGAGAGGUUCUGGGUCGGUCCCUGGGUCAGCAGUCAGCCACAAGCAGCUCCACGCCCAGCUCACCCAGCGCCUGGAGGAGGUCCUCCGCAAGAGGGACCGGGGUACUGGGCCCGAGGAGCGAGCUGGAGUCCAGAUCAGAGUGCCUGAGGAGCGAGGUAGGCCACAGGACCGAGGGUCCCGAGAGCGAGCUGGAGCCCAGGGAGGAAGCGGGCCUGAGGAGCAAAGUGGAGCCCAGGGAGGACGAGGGCCUGAGGAGCAAGAUGGAGCCCAGGGAGGAAGAGGGCCUGAGGAGCGAGGUGAGCCCACUGGGAGAGGUGCCAAAGUGUCACGGCAGGAUGCAGGAAGGCCUGGUCAGACCAAGGGGAAACCUAAGAGCCAGAAGUCUCAGGAAACUGAAGCCACCCCAGGGAAAGCCCCUGUCAAACCCACCCCAGCUAAAGAUAUACAGGAGAGGGCAACACCUAACUCCAAGGUUAAGGCCACUGGGUCAAACUCCAGUAAAGACAAGGUGAGGAUAUAG